rnacentral:rRNA from 1 species
AAAUAAAAUUUAAUAAUAAAGAUUGAAGGGCCGCGGUAACUCUGACCGUGCUAAGGUAGCAUAAUCAAUCGCUCCUUAAUUGGGGGCUAGUAUGAAAGGAAUAACGAACUUCUCCCUGUCUCAAGUACAGGCCAGUUGAAAUUUAGUACUUCGUUAAGACGCGAAGAACCCUUGAUCAGACGAGAAGACCCCGUCGAGCUUUACUUUAAUCUAUUUUCAAACGUGUCUUAGUUUAAAGGCUAAAAAAAGAUAGGGAAAAAGUUUAGUUGGGGUGACUUCCCAAAACAUAGAAACUUGGGUGAACAAAGGUGUGAGUUAAAUCAACUAGCUUUACCGAGAAGAGGACACUCUGUUCGGUCACUAAGAACCGUGAGUUUUAGCUACCCGUCUUUUAUGGAAAGACGACAUCGAAUAAAAGCUAC